rnacentral:other from 1 species
ACAUCCCUGCUGUGUGCGUGUAAACUGACAUAGUAAAGAGCCAACACUAUGACAUAGGGAGUCCGGUCUCUAAAUGCGGCAUAUAGGCCCUCGUGGAAGGGAAAUAUAAAGCAUUUAGGAGGACACCCACCUGGGUUGAGCGGGGUCUCUAUUUACUGUCAGUUAACACGGCAUGGUGGGGUAUUU